rnacentral:rRNA from 1 species
UACGUAGGGUCCGAGCGUUGUCCGGAUUUAUUGGGCGUAAAGAGCUCGUAGGCGGUUCCGUAAGUCAGAUGUGAAAACUCAGGGCUCAACCCGGAGACGCCAUCUGAUACUGCGGUGACUGGAGUCUGGUAGGGGAACACGGAAUUCCUGGUGUAGCGGUGAAAUGCGCAGAUAUCAGGAGGAACACCGAUGGCGAAGGCAGUGUUCUGGGCCAGUACUGACGCUGAGGAGCGAAAGCGUGGGUAGCGAACAGG